CCCUUAGAUGUCCGGGGCUGCACGCGCGCUACACUGAAGGAAUCAGCGUGCUAAAACCAUUGUCGAAAGGCAUUGGUAAACCCAUUAAAAUCCUACGUGAUUGGGAUCGGGAAUUGCAAUUAUUUCCCUUGAACGAGGAAUUCCCAGUAAGUGUGGGUCAUAAGCUCGCGUUGAUUACGUCCCUGCCCUUUGUACACACCGCCCGUCGCUGCCCGGGACUGAGCCGUUUCGAGAAAAGCGGGGACUGCUGCUGUCGGGGCUUUCGGGCCUUGGCUUCGGUGGAAACCGCUUUAGUCGCAGUGGCUUGAACCGGGCAAAAGUCGUAACA
rnacentral:rRNA from 1 species